UUUUAAGCCAGACCGAAGAGAUAUCAGCGAAGAACCAGUUCUAUCUGAGCAAUCUGAGCAAGAAAGCGCUGAAGAUCUGCCAGACACAGAGCCAGAGGUCCCGGGGCAUACCCUCAUCCAGCCAGAGGAGGGGAUGCUGCAGUCUUCGCAGAAAUACCCUCAGGAUAGUGUGGGGAGAAACGUCUAUGGGAACUUGGGACAGCUAACCAUCACGUAUGGAAAUACUCCCCAACGAAUACUAUACACGGGUUUCAGAAAGGCUAACAGUUUAUUGGAAUCCACUAUUCUUCAAGCUAUAGUAAACAUUCAAAAACAAAACAGGUA